rnacentral:lncRNA from 1 species
AACAGCCAAAACAGAUUUGUGAAAACAGGGGAUUCUGAAAUCUGGAAUCAAAAACAGAAUGAUAUACCAACAAAAACACAAUGGAAAAAUGUGAUGGAAUUUGUGUGGAUCUAGCACACAAAUAAGAACUCAAAAUAAAAUUAAAAAAAGCACCAAAGGAUCAAAACAAAGCAGAUUUCAGAUCAAGCAUUCAAACAAAAAAAACAAGAAACAAAUAAAUCAAGAAGAG